UCGCCCACCUCCGGUGGAUCGGAGAAUCUUCCACGCAGAAAAAACUUUUCUCCUUUCCGAAUCCGAUGGCCGAUCGAGAAAAAAACCGACAUUGGCAUCUCCCCUGCUUGGCUUCCGUUUCACGCUUGUUCGGAAGCUAUGCGAAGGCCCCACAACGUUGGGGACGUCAGGUGGGGUAAGCCGUGGUCGAUAGAGCCCCCAUCGAGGCCGAGAUCGGAUAUAAAGCUACGGUUGGGUCGAGGAGAGUCGACGACAAGGUGGAGUUCAAGGAGAGAGCCGUCAGGUUCUAUCCUGGUGAGAGAUUGAAAGCAACAAAAAUCAAAUACCAGGUCUCACAACCUGGUGGACUAAUUCCCAGUGGAAUUGAUUCUGGGGACCCUUUGGGUUCCAAAGUUUUCAUCGAGGACCAUGAUCCUUGGUGGAAGAGGAUACUGGAUCCAGGAAGCAACAUCCUGAUGAAAUGGAACCAUGUCUUCCUCGUCUCAUUCUUGGUUGCACUGGUCAUAGAUCCUCUAUACCUCUAAUUGCCGUUGGCCGAUAAGAGCAGCACUAUGUGUAUCAAGACGGAUGAGAAUAUGAGAGUUACCAUUACCUUCCUCCGAACUCUUGCCAAUCUAUUCUAUAUACUGAACAUAGCUGUGAAGUUAGGACUGCGUAUGUUUCUCCAAGCUUGAGAGUAUUUGGACGGGGAGAGCGUAUAAUGGACCGCAAGAAGAUUGCCAUGAGAUUGUUGUUUGGUCAGUCAUCCUAACAGUCAGGAACUUAAGAGCCCAAGACAACAAUAAUGCACUUGCUCUGAUUGUUCUAAUACAAUACAUACCAAGAUUUUAUCUCAUAUUUCCCUUAAGUCAACAAAUUAUUAAAACUACUGGUGUUGUUACAAAGACUGGUUGGGCAGGAGCUGUAUACAAUCUUUUGCUUUACAUGAUUGCCAGCCAUGUAAGUAACUCUAUCACUUUCCCUUAAUUAUUGUGUAUCAACCUUGAAAAUUAUGAUGGAUAUAUUGUCUUGAUUCUGAGGAAAAGAGUUUUCACAGGAUUUUAUUGGAAUUUGCAGGUUUUAGGAGCUUCAUGGUCUUUGCUUUCAGUUGAAAGACAGAGGACAUGCUGGAAAUCACAAUGCACUCUGGAUAGACCAUUAUGCAAACUAAGGUUCUUGAUUGUGGCUUGUCAAGCCAACCAGAACGUCAAAGCUGGGUUAGUGUCACAAAGGUUUUCAUAAAUUGUGGUCCUAAUGGCACUUUCAAAUUUGGCAUUUUUAAAUCUGCACUAACAAAUGAAGUUCUUACCACGAAGCUUGUCAAGAAGUAUUUCUAUCGUCUUUAGCGGGGAUUGCAAAAGCUAAGGCAUGAACUCUUACUUCCUAUCUUUCAUGUGAAAGUUAAUAUGACUUGGCACAAUUAUGGAUAUACUCUUGAUUUUUUUUUCUCAUGCUAUUUCCUUGAUAUCAGAAAGAUGCUACCACAUCCGGUCGAUUGAAGCUCACUGUGCUCUUGUAUUCUUGCUUGACAAGAAAAACUUUAGCAGAGGAGAGUAUGAUCAACAUACGCACUCCUGUGGCCAAACAUCGACAACGAGUGCUUUUGUUUUCUAUACUCAUCGUCCUUGUUGGUCUUGUUCUAUUUGCGCACCUGAUCGGAAACAUGCAGCGGCUGCUGUCAUCGUUACGUGGGUUUGUUUACCAAGGAAAGGAGAGUGUUGGGAAGAGGCGUUCUGACAUCAACCAGCUCAAGAUGUGGAUGUGUCACCGGCUGCUAUUGCUUUUGCGACCGUUAGAGAUGCAGAUCUGAUGACUGUAGCAGGUGGAAACUCUGUGAGUUAAUACACCGACAAUGGUGUCGCACAAAUUAGUGGCGUUUUUCCAACGGCUUGGCUUGGUUGGGGAGACUUUAUUUUGAUGCAAUUGUUCGCGAUGGCCCAACCACGUCUAUUUAUUGAUUGCCACCAACAUCUGAUGGGACACCACAGUUCGAAUGCUCAUCAAUUUAUUCAAUUUCAAUUAAAUAUAUAGUUAUCCAAAUGUAAUUUAAAUCCG